UUUUUUUUUGUUUCUUGUUGCUACAUUAUAUACUUGUGGGAGCUUAGAUGUGAUAUCCUUAAAUAACAUCUAGAUGUGAAUUAGAAAAACUGAUUUUCUAACGUACCAAGAAAGAAAACUCGAUCAAAAACACGCCCCCGCUUCCAGGUCGUGAGAGUCAUCGCGCACACACACAUAGACAUAGACAUGCAUAUCCGUGUUUACGUAAAAUUCCAUUUCCAUCUCCAUCUCCAAUCAUAUUUGUCCAACUGGCACAUUAUUUACGUUGUUAAUUAUAUACGCGGCAAUAUUAAUGUACAACAUCUCUUGUUUGCGCACGUCCGGACCGCUGCCACGGCCGGUCCUGACCAACCCGAACCCUCUUCAUCACCCGCGUGUGCUUCCCGCCCGAAACGGUCAGUGCCGCAUUCAUGCCCGGCCAGAGUGGACACGACCUCUCACUGGCGCCGACAUUGAUUGCGGCGCGCCGUCCAAGAGAGCGUCACCCGCGCCGCUUCUGGGUGCACGCGGCUGCUCUACGUUCAAAGGUCGUAAUAGCCGGCUACAACAUGCGCGAUCUCUUCCAAUAGUAAGUUCUUGGGAGUCCGUGCUAUAGCUAGCUGUCCUCCCCCAACUCGUCAAUCUCUUCCAGUAGUGCUAGUACUCCAUGGCGCGAUCCAUCGACAAGCAGGCGGGAAAGUUAUGGUAUACUACUCGGUUUGCGGUGAGUGGCAUGCCGAGCGACCGUGUGGGGUCGAGCUGUGGAGGAGGGUGAGACACGAACAUGACAGACGUGAUUUAAACGUUGGUUUUGCUCGAUGGCGCGAUCCAACGAAACGAAACGUUAAUUUCUCUCCAUUUCCAUUUUUUCUCCGGAAAAACGGAAACUUUUCCACUCCAUUUUCAUUCCUAUUCCAAGGUUGCCCCGUUACAACAUUUCAUCAAAUACAAAGGAAAACUAACACGCAUGCUGAUGCAUCCCAAUGAUUCACAGAUUAUAGCCAAUAUUUACUUCACAACUAAAGAAAAAAGUUGUGAGAGCGUGUACGAUAGAAAAACUACUGAUGGGGUCACUACGACUUAAACCAUAAACCCUAAACAUGAUUUAAUUUCCUGGCCAGGUAGAACUUGUCGAAGGAAUGUGCUAGAGGUAGAUUCUUUAGUGAGAAUGUCAGCAACAAUAGAAGCAGCACUCUUAGGUUCUCCACCUUCUGGUACCUCUUGUUCCAUAGCACUUUCCAUGUCGGGAAGGAAAGAUGGCUGGCACCCUCGGAUCAUACGAUGCUGUUGUGCAGUUCCACUAAAAUCAACCUGAGCAUCCCUGAUGGCAAAGAUAUUGAAGAAGUGUGAUUAGAAUAAUAGUACUGGCACUAGUUCAUGAGACAUAAACUCAUCACAAAUAGAAGCCGGUAGAAGUAGAGAAAGAUCGACAUGGAGAUGGAGCUACGGCAGUGGAGCAAGCCGGCUCCAAAAGGAAGAUGGACUACCUGGGACGUCGGGUUGUAGCUAGAAGGGCGGUUGGGACGCGGCAUCAGCCCAUACCGCGGUGACCCCCAAUUGGGACGCACCGACUGUGGGUUUUCUCCCUCGCCGAUGUCGACCGCGUCUACGCAGAACAUUGUUCCCUUCCCCCAGCUACGGGAUUAGGCCCGUUGUCGGUGUCAAAACCGGCGGAUCUCAGGUAGGGGGUCCCGAACUAUGCGUCUAGGCUGGAUGGUAACAGGAGCCAGGGGACACGAUGUUUUACCCAGGUUCGGGCCCUCUUGAUGGAGGUAAAACCCUACGUCCUGCUUGAUUAAUAUUGAUGAUAUGGGUAGUACAAGAGUAGAUCUACCACGAGAUCGGAGAGGCUAAACCCUAGAAGCUCGCCUAUGGUAUGAUUGUAUGUUAUGGUUGUUGUCCUACGGACUAAAACCCUUCGGUUUAUAUAGACACCGGAGAGGGUUAGGGUUACACAAGGUCGGUUACAAAGGAGGAGAUCUCCAUAUCCGUAUUGCCUAGCUUGCCUUCCACGCCAAGUAGAGUCCCAUCCGGACACGAGACGAAGUCUUCAAUCUUCUAUCUUCAUAGUCUAGCAGUCCGGCCAAAGUAUAUAGUCCGGCCGUCCGGAGACCCCCUAAUCCAGGACUCCCUCAGUAGCCCCUGAACCAGGCUUCAAUGACGAUGAGUCUGGCACACAGUAUUGUCUUCGGCAUUGCAAGGUGGGUUCCUUCUCCAAUACAUCACAACAGAAUUUGAAUACGAGGAUAGUGUCCGACCCUGCAAAAUAAGUUCCACAUCCCACGUAGAGAGAAUAAUAUUUCCACAGAUCUAAUUUGUAGGCUUGUUUUGGCAGCAUGACGUUAUGUCAUGGCCCGGUGAUUAUUCGAACCGUUUCCUCUAACCAGCCCCGCACAUAACGCCAGGCAGUUUUUCGACACGUCUUGUCAAAGCAGAGAUCGUGUCCCCUUAUUACGAAAUUCUCAUCAAUACGGGCGUGGGUAACCCAACUGCGCCAUCAAUUACGGCGCUUGGGGGAUAAGCGAGUUUUACCAGGCAAGUGGGGACGCUUAGCUUCGUCCGCCCAUAUAAAGGGAUAGGGAUUCAUCUUUCUAUCCACGCCUUCUUCCUCCUUCGCUCAUCCGCUUUCGCACACUCGAGCUCUAGUGUCCAAGUCCGCACUUCCCACCUCAACCUUCUCCAACCAUGUCCGGAGCGGGAGGCAGGUGCAUGGUCUCCUCCGUCACGGAGGGAGACAUCAAGAAACUGAGGAGAGCCGGAUACUUAGCCGCAAACAUCGCGCAUCGGCUGCCCGCUGCGGGGCAGAUCGUCCCUACCCCGGAACCUCACGAGAGGGUAGUUUUCCUUCACCACUUCCUCCGAGGACUAGGGUUUCCCCUCCAUCCAUUCGUCCAUGGUCUCAUGUUCUACUACGGGCUGGACUUUCAUGAUCUGGCCCCGAACUUCAUCCUCAAUAUUUCGGCGUUCAUCGUCGUGUGUGAGGCUUUCCUCCGCAUCUGGCCCCACUUCGGCCUGUAGUUAAAGACCUUCAAUAUCAAGCCGAAGGUGGUACGAGGCCAACAAGCAGAAUGCGGCGAAGCCAUGGUGGGCAAGAUGCCCAACGUCAUAUGGCUCGAAGGCUCCUUCGUGGAGACAAUAAAGGGAUGGCAGUCGGCGUGGUUCUACAUCACCGAGCCGCGCGAUGCCAAAUGGGCGGCAGCCCCCGAGUUUCGAUCCGGAUUCCCUACACGGCUCACUUCUUGGAAAGAGAAGGGCUUGUCAUGGGGUUCAUCGGUGGAGCUGGAUGGACUCCAGAAAUGUAUCCGGAGUAUCGCGAGCAAGAAGCUCAAGCUUGUCAACAUAGUCCAAGUUAUGCUCAUCCGUCGGAUCCUCCCGUGUCAACAACGGGAUUUUACCUUAUGGGAGUUCGACCCGGCCCAGCACCAGACUCUGAGCGAGCUCUUCGAUACGAUGCACAAGGACGUCUGGAAGGUGUUGUUCAAGGGCGCCGAGGUCACCCCUUAUCUCGCCGAGGACCGCGGACUAAGCGCAAAGCGCCUAGCGCGUUCGGUGAGUUCAAUAUGUCCCGUAGGACACUUAUUUUCCCUAGAUUAAUUAUGUGCACGGUCUAAUCUCCAUGCCUUUGACAGGAGUGGGUGGGGAUGUCGGGGCAGAUUAACUAUCUGGCCCCUUUGCCCGAAGAUACUGCGGGCGCUCUCCUGACGGAGAUGCUGACUCCGGCUCCUUACAAGGUGCCGGAGAAGACCAAGAAGGCCAAGGGAGCCCGAAAGAGUUCCCGGCGCCAGGUGUUAUCGGACUCAUCGUCUGAUAACUCUGCGGCACACUCCUCCCCCGAAGACGAGGAGGAAGAAUAAGAUGCUCCCCCUCCAGGCGGGGGAGACAAGAAAAGGAAGGCCGCCCCAACUGGGGAGGCCGAAGGGUCCAAGAAGGGGAGGACUCUCCUUUUGGACAGUUCCACCGCCGCCGACGAGGGCGAAGACGAGUGGUUUCCCAGGGCCAAGCCCCCGGGGAGAUCGUAAGUAUUUCAGAUACCAGAGUAACUCAUAGAAUUCCUUUGUCGCACUGUUUUUCCUAACGCCGAACAUAAUUAUGCAGGCCGCCACGAGCUAGUAUCCAUGUAUCAUCGGACGGCUCCCUGGGCUCGUCGGACAUGGAUAGCAAUCCAGUCCCGACCGCCACCUCCCCUCAUCCUGCUGAUGAUGCCGAGGUGCUGUCUCAAGAAGCACCGGGUCCAGGGGAGACAGUCCAGGAAGCACCUCAAGGCGACCUUCCGGACUCCGGGAGCCGAGGGGACGGGGCCCCUAAGAGAUCCGAGUUCGGCCCUUAGUCGAACACCGCGCCAGAACCUCCAGCGGUUCCAGGCUCAGGCAGGCGGCCUCCUUCUAAGAGGGGCAAGACGCCUGUGCCGGUGACCUCUGUCCAUCCAGAGGCGCCGGACAAUCUGCUGGAAGCGCUUCGCAGCGCUUCCAUCAACGAGGAGCACCGCACCAUCAUGAGUGCGGUGAUCCAGAAGGUUCAGUCCGCCAAGAGCGGAUUGACUGAAGCCUGUGCCAGCCUUCUAACAGGCUUUGAGGUAAGUGUUUUAAAAUGUAGUAGAAAUAUUACCGCAUAGACAGUAGCCCCUGAUGCUUUGUUCGGUGUUCACAAAGAAAAGCCGAACAGAGGAUCAAAUAAUAUCGCAGGAGUCUAAUAUAAGUAUGUCAAUAUGCAUAUGCAGGCUUCGCUGCUGGCGUCCGCCGCACUGACUGCGGAGGUCGCCGUAUUGAAGCAGGACCUCGAGGGGUCCAGGAAAGAGCUCGGCCUUGCCAAGAGGCAGCUCAAGGAGAACAAGGGUAAGUAGUACCCUGUCUAUAGAUAUGUGUAUAUAAAAGAAGAUGUGAUUGCAAAAUGACAGGAUCAUCGUAUGUUUGCCAGGGGCCACGACCGAGGUGGCGACCCUGAAGCAAGCGCUAACCAAGGCCGAAGAUAAAACGGCCAAGGAGCGCACCGAGCGAGAGAAGCACGAGGCUCGGGUGGGCGAGGUGCAGCAAGAGCUCCAGGCUCUCAUGGCGAAGCACGAGGCGUUGGAGCUUGACUCAAAGACGCGGGAGUCCGAGCUUGCCGCGGCCCUUGAGAGUGCAAAAAGUGCCAAGGCCGAAGCCCAAAAGGCCCUCCAAGAGAUCGACGUGAUGAAGAAGAUAGCGGUGGGUAAGGCUUUCUAUAUGCAAAGCAAGCAUCUAAAAGUAAAUUACCGAUUACUUACCCGAAUCCGGAGCUUUCUAGGAGCAUUCACAGAAUUGCCCCGCAGUGUGUCCGAUGCCGCACAAUUUUACCAGGCUGAGGACGGAAGCUCGAUGGAGAAGUUGUUCUGGUCUCAGUAUGCUAAGGCCAGACAUCCGGUGCCAAUGAGCGACCAGCUGAAGCAGAUGGUCGAGCUACAUAAGGCGGACGAUCAAGCCAUGAAGGGCUUUAUAGUCCGGCUAUGGCCUGGCGACGCCCUUCCGAACAGCUUCUUCGGCCUGGUGAGGCGGCUUGUGGAUGCAUGCCCGCGGCUGGAGGUCGUCAAGCGAUCUAUCUGCAUUGAAGGUGCGCGUCAGGCUUUCGCCCGUGUGAAAUUGCAGUGGGUCAAGCUAGACGCCGUGAAGCUGAUCAAGGAGGGGCCGCCGGAGGGCAAGGAGCACCGCCACCCCGAGAUGUACUACGAGGGUGUUCUGCCGGGUAACCGUCUCAUCGCGGACGAGUGUUCAAAAGAUGUAAUAUUUGAGUGAGACUUGCUCGUUUUAUCCUGUAUUUAUGAAAACUUGUUUCAUAUGCGCUAUGCAACUCUUAUUUGAAUUUAAAAUAUUACCUUUUGUUUGGCUAUUUAUCCAAUCUGAGAGAUGGCUAGUCCUCGGCUUCUGUCCCCAUGCCACGAGUGCUGGGGUGUUCGGGAUAAACCUAAGCACUCUUGUUCCCAUGUUUGGGUCCUUCGAGGGAGGUGCUCAGCACAGCGAACAAGGCAACCGGACUAAUAAUGCUUUAUCACUCUCACUUAGCCAUAGAAUUAUAUAAUUUUAAAUUUCAGCAAAGCCCCUGGUAUUUGGAAGGCCGAAUUCGGGGCGGGAUACACGCCUUUAAGCCGGACAGGGCCGGCCCCUCGCUCUAAGCGGCAUAAGUCUUUAGGGACUCGAAAACCUCGCUUAACAGCGACCAGUCUCUCGCCUUAUCAUGACAAUCAGUUUUAGCUUUCUCUACUGAGGUGCUGAACCCAGCAGAACCGGGGCACAAUCACAGUAGUUCUCCUAGCGCUACCUUAGCCGAUAGAGCGGAACGUAAGGUACCAAAACAUAGGAGCCGGGCAAACCCAACAUUUGACCAAAGACAUGAUUCGGAGCUGAUGCAUAUAAUGCUAUAAGUUCGGGGUGCCGCACUUGUGAAAGUGUUUGGACUUUUCACACCGUAUUGUGGGGUACGAAAGCCCCUGGUGUAUUGGUCGUACCAAAGUGUAUGGUUGCAAGGUGUCAUUAAUAAACACACAGAUAUAUAUAUGAUAAGAAUGCAAUAAUAGUCGUAAUGUCAUGCAUUGUUUAUUCAAAAAAUUGCGUUAAGGCAGAGUGAUACAGAUAGUGCGAUAAGCAAAGAGUAGGACUAUGUCCCUUCCAAGGGCAAGGUGAGGAAUGAUAUUAAAUCGAAUAUUUCGCUCAUUACUGUAAUCCACCUGGGAAUUCCAUGGUAUGACAUAACUGUCUGCCUCCUUGGUUGCUGCAUCAUGUGUUCGGCAAUAGCGCUGCCAGACAGUGUUUCCAGAGAUUAAGGUCCUGAAAAAAAGAGAAAAAUAACCAAACGGGAAGCCCCUAGUGCGGUUUAAGCCGCGUCUUGGGGCGUGCCGCAGCUGUGCCCUCCUCCCCAUCUGUGCCCAUGGUAUUUUUAAUGCGUAAUUAUGUACGCGUGGCACGAGUUUCGCCGCUGGGCUGGGAUUGGGGUGGCCGCCGCAUUGCUACGCGAGCUCAGAUCGCGCCAGGUGGUCUAUUUGCCUAUUGCUCCGAGCGCGCUUGAAGGUGUCCGGGCUUUGAAGCGCCGAACUGGUUGAUUGCCUUGAGAGGCUGCUUUGCGCUUCUGCUGCGAGGGUCGCAGUGUGCUCCUCUGUUCGGAGGGAGCGCUCUGUGUUUCCAUUGACUGUAAUAACUCCGCGAGGUCCUGGCAUCUUGAGCUUGAGGUAUGCAUAAUGCAGUACCGCAUUGAAUCUAGCAAAUGCAGUUCUCCCGAGCAGCGCGUGAUAACCACUGCGGAACGGGACUAUAUCAAAGAUUAACUCUUCGCUUCAGAAAUUAUCCGGGGAUUCGAAGACCACUUCCAGUGUAAUUGAGCCUAUGCAAUGGGCCUCCACACCUGGAAUGAUGCCUUUAAAGGUUGUUUUUGUGGGUUUGAUCCUUGAGGGGUCUAUACCCAUUUUGCGCAUUGUGUCCUGAUAAAGCAGGUUUAGGCUGCUGCCGCCAUCCAUAAGGACUCGAGUGAGGUGAAAUCCGCCAAUAAUUGGGUCUAGGACCAGUGCGGCGAAUCCGCCAUGACGGAUACUAGUGGGGUGGUCCCUGCGAUCAAAGGUGAUCAGACAGGAGAACCAAGGGUUGAAUUUUGGGGCGACUGGCUCCAACGCAUAUACGUCCUUGAGCGCAUGCUUCCGCUCCCUCUUGGGGAUGUGGGUUGCGUAUAUCAUGUUCACCGUCCGCACUUGCGGGGGAAACCUCUUCUGUCCUCCAGUGUGCGGCUGCCGGGGCUCUUCCUCGUCAUUGCUAUGCGGCCCCUUGUCCUUGUUUUCGUCAAUUAACUUGCCGGCCUUCUUGAACACCCAACAAUCCCUGUUGGUGUGAUUAGCUGGCCUGUCUGGGGUGCCGUGUAUUUGACACGAGCGAUCGAGUAUACGGUCCAAGCUGGACGGACCCGGCGUACUUUGUUUGAAUGGCUUUUUCUUCUGACCGGGUUUAGAGCCUUUGAAUCCGGCAUUGACUGUUGUAUCCUUAGUAUUUUCGCUGUUAAUGCGGCGCUUAUGUUUGUUGCGACGUGACCUACUAUUGCCGUCCUUGGUAUCUGAGGUACCAUGGUUCUUUGAUAUGUUAUUACUGCGAGCCAGCCAGCUGUCUUCUCCCGCACAAAAGCGGGUCAUGAGCGUCGUGAGGGCUGCCAUAGAUUUCGGCUUUUCCUGACCAAGGUGCCGGGCUAGCCAUUCGUCUCGGAUGUUGUGUUUGAAAUCCGCUAAGGCCUCUGCAUCCGGACAGUCGAUGAUCUGAUUUUUCUUUGUAAGGAACCGAGUCCAGAAUUGCCUGGCCGACUCUUCUGGCUGCUGAAUUAUGUGGCUCAAGUCAUCGGUGUCUGGUGGUCACACAUAAGUGCCCUGAAAGUUGUCGAGGAAUGCGGCUUCCAGAUCUUCCCAACAGCUAAUGGAGUCUGCUGGCAAGCUGUUAAGCCAAUGCCGCGCUGGUCCUUUGAGCUUUAGUGAGAGGUAUUUGAUGGCGUGUAAGUCAUCACCGCGGGCCAUGUGGAUGUGGAGGAGGAAAUCCUCAAUCCAUACUACGGGAUCUGUUGUGUCGUCAUAUGAUUCAAUAUUCACAGGUUUGAAACCUUCUGGGAAUUGAUGUUCCAUUACUUCGUCUGUGAAGCAUAAGGGGUGUGCGGCGCCUCUGUAUUGGGCUAUGUCGCGACGCAGCUCGAAUGGGUCUUGCCCACUGUGUUCGGCCUGGCCGGAUUUGCUUUUACUGUAUCCGGCGUGAUGUUUAUCGUCUCGCAGAGUAGUGCGCCCUCGUGAUCCGUAGAUCGAUCUUGCAUGCUUUGCUUUGUCCUCCAAUAUGUCUCGCAGGUCUGGCGUAUCUCCCCAUGCCUUUUUAUUUGAAUGGCGUCGGGGUGGAGGCUGAGCAUUUGGCUGGAAUGCCUCUCUAUCGCGGCCACGAGGUGGCCGAUCAGCCGUAUCAUACGCUUCUUCCUCCAGUCGGGGUAGUAACCUGCACUUUGGGUAACUCUUGAAGGGGCGCUCGAGUUUAUAUUCCUCGGCCGUGAGGACUUUAGUCCAUCUGUCAGCUAGCAGAUCUUGAUCAGCUUGAAGCUGUUGCUGCUUUUUCUUCAGGCUAUUUGCCGUGGUCGUAAGCCAGCGCUUGAAGCGCUCUUGUUCGACGGGAUCCUCUAGUACGGCGAAUUCAUCGUCGUCGAGGCUUGCCUCGUCUUCGGAGGGGGGCAUGUGAUUGUCAUCCUCCUCCUCUCUGUCUGCCGCUCUCUCAGGAGAGCUGGCUCCUCCAUCCUCCUGCUCUAAAUCUUGCUGGAGGGGUUUGUUGUUGUCUUCGGCACUAUCCGGAGUGUUAUUAUCUCAUGUGCCAGUAUCACCACUUUUGCUUUGGCGGGACUUAGAGCGGUGCCACUGACGUCGGCGUUUGGGUUGCUUCUUGGAGGGGUCAUCCUCCGCUAUCUCGUCGCCAUUGCCUUCUUUGGGUGUAUCCACCAUGUAUAUGUCAUAUGACGAGGUGGCUUUCCAGUGCCCUAUAGGUGCCGGUUCAUGUUCGUCUCCUACAUCAUUGUCCAUACCGUCGAUAUCUUUGGAGUCUAAGUCGGUCGGUUAAAUCAUCGACAGUGGCUACGAAGUGGGUGGUGGGUGGGCGUCAAAUUUCUUCGUCAUCCGCAUUCCAAUCCUAUUGGCCAUAAUCCGGCCAGGGCUCUCCUGACAAAGAGAGAGACCUUAGUGAAUUCAGAAUGUCACCGAAGGGCGAGUGCUGAAAGAUGUCCGCGGCGGUGAAUUCCAUGAUCGGCGCCCAAUCGGAUUCGAUUGGCAGGGGCGCGGAUGGUUCGGAGUCCGGAAAAGAGUCCGGCACCUUGGAGUCAUGGGUUGCGCAGAGGGUUAGGCUGGUGUUCGGUUCGAUCACCGUUGAGACUGCAGCCCCUGAGGCGGUGUCUAACCACCCGUCCUCGAUUGGCGCAGUUGGCUCCGAGCUAAGGGUCAGAGCUGAUGCGGGUGCGGCCUCUGGGGUACUGUUCGGCAGCAGAGCUAGGUCAUACCCAUCGUGACAGUGCGGCGCGCCCGGCUGUGGCUCGAAUCCGUCGAAGAUCAAGUCUCCACGGAUGUUGGCCGUGUAGUUCAAACUUCCAAAUCUGACCUGAUGGCCAGGGGCGUAGCUUUCAAUCUGCUCCAGAUGGCCAAGCGAAUUAGCUCGCAGUGCAAAGCCGCCGAAUAUGAAGAUCUGUCCGGGGAGAAAAGUCUCACCCUGGAUCGCAUCGCUAUCGAUGAUAGUAGGAGCCAUCGAGCCUAACGGCGACGACACAGAGGAACUCUCAAUGAAAGCACCAAUGUCGGUGUCAAAACCGGCGGAUCUCGGGUAGGGGGUCCUGAACUGUGCGUCUAGGCCGGAUGGUAACAGGAGGCAGGGGACACGAUGUUUUACCCAGGUUCAGGCCCUCUUGAUGGAGGUAAAACCCUACGUCUUGCUUGAUUAAUAUUGAUGAUAUGGGUAGUACAAGACUAGAUCUACCACGAGAUCGGAGAGGCUAAACCCUAGAAGCUAGCCUAUGGUAUGAUUGUAUGUUAUGGUUGUUGUCCUACGGACUAAAACCCUUCGGUUUAUAUAGACACCGGAGAGGGUUAGGGUUACACAAGGUCGGUUACAAAGGAGGAGAUCUCCAUAUCCGUAUUGCCUAGCUUGCCUUCCACGCCAAGUAGAGUCCCAUCCGGACACGAGACGAAGUCUUCAAUCUUGUAUCUUCAUAGUCUAACAGUCCGGCCAAAGUAUAUAGUCCGGCCGUCCGGAGACCCCCUAAUCCAGGACUCCCUCACCCGUCGUUCUAUGCUUGUGAAGAGAGCAACCUAAGCAAGCAGGCUUGUAGCUUAGGCUCCUGCUAGUGUAUAUAUAGUGGUUUUCUUUUUCUCUCCAUAUCAACCAUUUUAUAUUGCAUACGUGUCAUUCAAGAGUGAAAUGAUGGUUGCUUCUUCCGACUAACUUACUGUGUGAUUUGACUGCUCCUUAGCGGCCCGUACAGGUACUCCCCCUACGUGUAUGCAACAGUCACACGUACACAUGGACGCAAAAACGCGCGUGACACCCUAAUGCAUGCAUGUCCGAGCACACGAUGGAGGAGCGUCUGCACUCUUAUUAUAAUUUUAAAAUGUGAUAAAGCAAUCUUCAACACAUUUGGUUCUCUUCGAGGGUUCUCGCAUGUGAUAAUGGAAGUUGAUUGCAUGGAACACUCGCCACAAUUCUUGCUUAAUUCUGGCUCAUAUCCCGUUACAAAUAGUAGCACUCAGUAAUAUUUCCUUUUUUUGUUAUUCAGCAUGUAAACAGGUCAACAAACCUUGCGGCGCAUCUUCGUGCGAACCGUGCUUGCUGCACUUUGAAUGUGGCCGAGAGCUGGCUUGAUGAAACACCUCGCUUCCUACUUCUUUUUUUGCGGGGUACCUCGCUUCCUAGUGACCAGUGUCUUGGCUGAUCGUCCUAAGAAUGCUUAUAUAUGAAUAAAGCUCUCUCAUUUACCCGCAAAAAAGAUUAAGCCAUAUUAACCGGAAAGGACGGAGUAUGGACUAGCACUACUUUUUGGUGUGUCCCGUCAACUCGCAGAACAAGGAGAAGCUUGCAGGACAAGGUGAAGCUCGCUUAUGCCUUUUGACUAAUGCAACCUACCCUCGAUGGACAUGCAUCAGUCCAUUCGGUGUCAGAUUGUCAGAGGCAUACACUGUAGUACCCAACAUGCGGAGUACCAUCAUUGUUCGACUUCACGAAGGGGCGAAGAGCCAAGCGCAGUAGUACGCGUACUUGGUUUUGCACCUUCAUACUACUCCACCCUCCGUCACAGUUUACAGGGCACGCUUCAUUAUGAUGCAUUUCUCUCAAUGCAUUUCCACCACCAGAGAGACUUUAGACGCGUUUGGUAUAAUGCUCAAUUAAUUAGUGCGUGGUAACCGCAAUCAAGUCCACAAUUUUCUCUCCAUGUACUGUACUACUACGGAGUGCAUGCAUGUGUGUACCCGGGGUGGAAGCACUGCAUGCAUGUGUGUACGCAUUAUUCCCUCUAGUAAUAGACGCCGUGCUAUAACUACCAAUGCUCUUUUUCAGGCCGAUCGCUAGUCGCCUUGGUCCCACCAAUUUUUUUCUUUUUUUUGAAGCGCGUUGUAUAAACAGUGACGGAUGGAGUAGUAUGAGCGGAUUCAAAGAAGAGCAUAUUGAUGGUUGCUUCUUCAGAGCAACUUACAGUGGGAAAGGUGGGGCUUAUGAUUUGACUGCUCAUUACUCACUAUUAAUGCGGCGCAACGACCGGGCUGAGUCUCCCAUGCGGUUGUGCACUACCCCUCGGAUCUUAAAUAUACUCCGGAGUAUUUGUCUUUCUAGAGAUUUCAACGAGUAACUACUCAAAUAUUUGUCUUUUUAGAGAUUUCAAAUGGACUGGCACAUACGGAUGUGUAUAGACAUAUUUUAGAGUGUAGAUUCACUCAUUUUGCUCCGUAUGUAGUCACUUGUUGAAAUCUCUGUUAAGACGAAUAGAAUAUUUAGGAACGGAGGGAGUACACAUUUGAAGAAAAAUGAGUGAAUCUACACUCUAAAAUAUGCCCGUUUGAAAUUUGUAAAAAGACAAAUAUUUAGGAACGAAGGAGUAUAAUUUUGUGCAUGGCACAUGGACCCGGAUGAUGAAGAGGCUUCUGGCAAUGCUAUCAAGCUUCCAUCAUUUGUUUACAUAAUUGACGUACUAUACAAAUAAUUUUCCAACGACAUGAAAUUGUACAAUGGUGUGAGCUUUCAGCUUUUGUUUCGCGUGUCUUGCCAUCGAUGCUCUUACGGAAACAAUAAAAAACUAAGUUCCUUGCUAAUGCAUGUCAAUUAUUAGUAGAUCAGAGCUAAUAAUUACAUCACAACUGAAGACAAAGUUGUGAGAAGGUGUUAAAUUAAAAUUGAUCCAUGCUUUCAUUGGCAGCAACGUCCCCCCAGCUCUGUCUAAAUCAACAAGGCGUGUUGGGAAAAAAGUAGUUGUCUAGAGCAUGCAACAUUCCGAUCAUUUUGUGCAGUUCCACUAAAAUAGAGCUGAGUGUCCCUGUUCCAAAGAUAUCAAGUGUGAUUACAAUAAUAGAGGACUGCUGAUGAAAUAAUAAACACACAAAUAGAAGCCGGUCACCUUUGCAGUCUCUCUUAAGACUAACUAGUUGGAGAAGAUUAGGCUCGGAGUUGGAUGAGGAGGAUAGAGCAAAACCAAUCUCCCUUUGUGCAGUCGCACUGAAAUGUAGAGACGUUGCCCGUGUGACAUUUUAGUACAACUGCACAAAACACUCUUAAGAAAAAAGUGAUUUGUGCAGUUCACCAAAAGGUCGCAAUAGCAAUGACAUGAAAUGGAUAGCCCUAUUUGCAAAAAAGAGGUAGAAAGGAAACAAUUACUAGCCAGUAACAGUUGAUGACACAUGCGAUGACAAAAAAGAAGCAUAUUCCUUGUCAGAAGGGAAGAUAACAACACGGUUGUGUUUGUCUAAAACGGUGUGAGGGCGAGAAUGCAAUAUGGAAAGUACGCCGGACAAGCUACGUUUUGGGCAAAGAACUAUGGAAGAUCCACAUGCAGCGACAUGCGAAAACGGGCAGUGGAGCAAGGCCGGAGGGGAUACCUGGAGGUCGUCGGGAUGUAACUAGGUGAGCGGCGGCGGGCAGAAUCUGCGAGCAGGUGGCGUAGGCCCUGCCGCACCGGAGCUUGGUCAGAGAGAACGGCGUGUACCGCAGAUUGGGACGUGCUGCCUCGGCGCCGUCGAAUGGAGAAACGAUGCACUUCCUCCCUUUCCCCCGGCGGACGGGAUGCGGCUGGAUCAGUGACCAACGGUGAGAGAGAGAGAGGCCACCGCACUCCCUUUCCCCCGAUGGACGGGAUGCGGCCGGAUCAGUGACCAACGGUGAGAGAGAGAGAGGCCACCACACUCCCUUUCCCCCGGCGGAUGGGAUGCGGCCGGAUCAGUGACCAACGGUGAGAGAGAGUGAGGCCACCGGAGCCUUGUGUGAGAUACUCUGAAGAGCAGACUACCUUUUCCUCCAUAAAAAUCGUUUUAUAUUCUGUGUACGUGCCAUUGAGCGCUAUAACCUUAUUUAAAAAUAACGCGGCAAUGCGUCAAGUCGAACUUUGUUUCGUGCACGUGUGGUACACGACCUCCCUAGGUAAACAACCGCUACAGGCGUUCAAAUUAGCACGUGGGCUGCCAUUUCGUAAAGAAAUGAGCUCCACCGUGUACCCGCGCGGGUGUGGCUGGGCACGAAGCGUCAGUACGUGCACGGUGCACCUAUUCUCUUCUUGUAUAUGUACACCUGCGUGGGGUUGUGUGAGAGAGAUACAAACCUAGAGAGAUAUAGCGUGUGGGUUCUUGAGAGUUUUUUUAUGGGGGGGUCAAUCAAAAAAUUUAACAUAUGCAAUGUGUGUGAAAUAGAGUCCUGGAUAUAACAUAUAUAUAGAGGGGGAGAUCCACGAGAAGAGAGUGGGGGUAUCAUCGGCUUGAGGUGUCCAUAGAAUCGAAGAGAUAGAUGAUGUGUGUGUGUGUGUGCGCGCACGCGAUCGAUAAAGAGUGCCAUCGAAUUUGUGUGUGCCCAUGUCAAAGAUAUAGAGUGGUUGGCCUACUGGAACGUGAGAUGGGACAUGUGCAGUUUGUCUCUGUGGCAUGGAUACCUACCUGCAGCGCUCGACUAUCGGUGUGUGGUGGGGGAAGAGGGAGGCCCAAUUAACUAUAGAAGUACAAUGGCUGGUAUAUGUGUGGAGGAGGAGAGAGGCCUACCUCGUGUAUUAAGGAGAUCAAUCUGCCUCAUGUAUUAAGGGAGAUCGAUCGGCAUCCAUGAAUAUGUGCAGGAGAUGAAUAAGGUUGGGAGAGAGACAGAGCUAGAGUGUUGGAGGGGGUGGUAGUGGAGUUGCUUUUAACAAAUGGUGGGAUAGGCUUGCUAGACAAACGGAGGGCACGCCCGCAAUAUCAAUAAGAGAGGAGAUGGCUGUUUGUUGUCUGUGCACGUGCGUGUGAGAGACAGGUCAGGAGGCAUGCACGAAUGAUGAGGGGGGACGAUGUGGCUGUGGUAAGCAGACGUAACUACAUAGGAAGAUCAAUCGCCCUUUGUAAGAGAAAGGAGAGACAUAACUUGUGAGGUACGUCGAUCGAUGGGGGGUAGUUAAAGUCGAUCUAGGUAUAUGUUGGGAGAUCGAUCGGUAUACAUGCAUGUGUGUGUUAGAAGCAAAUGAGGCACGAGGAGAAGGAUAGAGAGAGAGGGAUGCAUGUAGGAGGUGGUACGAGAGGCAUACUAUAUCGAGGGGGAGGAGUGUGUGAGUACGAGAAUGAUGAAAAGAGUGGUGGGAGUGAGGCAUGGACGGUGACAAGAGAAGAGGGGAAGCUUGUGUUUGUGCUAGGCACACCUGGCUAGAGAGGCAUAUCGAUCGAUGUGUGCCGUAAAUAAGGAGCUGGGGGGCCUACACACACCGUGGGUGAACGACCUAAAGUGAAAAGAUGAAUUUGUGCGAUGGAGCUAGAGAAUGCUGAGGGAGGGUGAGAGGGAUGCGGGCGUGUGCAUGCACAAGAGAAAGUUAGCACUAGCUACAAAGAUAAGAGGGUUGUGUGGGUGUAAAAGACGAAUAGAGAUCAUAUAUACUUCAUUAUAAAAAGCGAAUUCGGAUAUUUGAAGAAUUUAUCAUAGUGUUUCAAACCGACGGAUGUGUGAAUAUAUAUAAUGGUGAUACACAUGGUGUGGUUAUGAACAUGGUAUACUACAUUUAAUAUAUUUUAUCUCUAGUCUUAUAAAAAACGGAGUUGUUUAUGAUGGUGUGCCUGCCAUCCUGCAUUAUAGGCCAUCUGAUUUAUAUCUGGCGGAUAGCAAGGAAACUAUGAUGGUUGAAGUUGGCAACAAUCAUGAUUGUAGAUUCUUAUUGGAAUAGAGAAACGAAUUCAAAUUUAGUUCGAAUUGCAGCGGUAGUAAGUAUAGACAUUUGGAAUGCACUAAAAUGUUGGUAUGAGUAGGUUACAUGCAUUAUACAGCAAGCGAAAAAAAUUAAUCGGACAUAACAUGGAUUCAUACUCCCUCCUUCCAUCUAUAUAGGGCGUAAUGAGAUUUUUAAGACCGCCUUUGACUAUUGACAAGAUUAAUAGUACAUGACAUGCACAAUGUGAAAAUUAUAUCAUUGAAAGAACCUUUCACAAACGAAUUUAACGGUGUGCUUUGUGUAAGUUGCAUGUCAUAUAUCAUUGCUCUAAUAUUUGGUCAAAGUUAGCAUCGAAAAACGCAUUAGGCCCUAUAUAGAUGGAAGGAGGGAGUAGCUUUGAAUAGCACUUGUAUAGUAAAACGGGGCAAGACUCUCUCUUUGUGUGGUGUGAAUAGUUUUAUUUUUUCGUUUUCUUUUUGGUUGAGGGAAGUGUGAAUUGAUUUGGUACAUACAAGUACAAUAUUACUACACGUUAAGCUUGUCCCUAAAAUUCAACCCGCGUCUUGUUAUAUCUUGAAAAUUCAGAUAUCGUGCUCCCAAAACUGGCACCUUCACAACCCGCGCCUUGCUAUCCCAAAAUUACAACGUGCGCGAAAACUCCCUCCAGCUGCCAAAUCCCGACACGCAAAACCCCCCUUCUAACCCUAAACCGAAAGGGACGCUAGUUCAAAUCGGUGGGGGUACUUUUGUAACACGCCUUACAUUUUGGACAAGCGCGUUCCUAAGUCAUGCUUCACCCCCUCCCAUCGCCUCCUUUUCGCCAUUCGAAAUCCCAGGCCGCCAUAACCUCUCCGCUCCAGCCGCGAAACCCCACCCUCCUUUGUCCGCCACGUCACCGCUGCCCAGCCAGAGCCUCUUCCCCAACGACAUCGUCCAUCGCAACAGCUCGACGUCCCUCGUCCACCUCCCCGGAUGAGGAUCCGUCAUCCAUCUCGUCGUCCCACCGGUUCAGCCGCCCCAUCCUCCACCUCCAAGGAGCUGCUCCGACGAUUGCCUCGUCUAUCGCGGCUGCUCCAUCCCCACAGCGCCGCCUUAACCUGCUCUACCGGAACCGCAGCAUCCUCACUGACUCCUCGGAUGAAGCCGAGGCCUACUUGGCGCCACCAAAGAGGUUGUGCACUCAUCGCAUCGCACCUUCUCCUUAACUCGACCUCCCAGCGCCGACGGUGCUCCAUCCCGCACCCCCGUGGAGCGGCUACCUUGAAGCCGGCGCCACGGGCGACAUCUCCAUGGCGGCUCUCCCCCAGUGCGAGGCCCCUUCGGCGGCGGCAGCCAUACCAGCCGGAUCUGCUGCUGCUCCGGCUCUCGCUCCAUCGCUCGCUCACCCAGCUGCUGUUGCUGCUCUCCUCCUCGCUCGUGCUGCUGCUCUGCUCCGAUUAAGCGAAACUUUAGUCGACUGAAUUGACUUUUGGGUCAGUCGAUUUUCAGGGGUUGGGGGGGCUCACCGGAGUUAAGGAAGAACCACCCGCAGCGGGGACAGGGGCUCGCCGGAGAGGUGCCCCACUAUCUAUCUUAGGAUUCAGGGUGGGGGCGGGGGGCCUAGAGGGCUGGCCGGGGCAGCGGUGGCGAGUUGUUUCGGGGCGGCGAGGCGGCGCUGGGGCCGGCGGUUCGGCUGGUGGUGGCUGGCGGCUCAGGAGGGUGCAGGUUGAAGAUGAACUGCGGGCCCUCCCUAAACUACAUGUCAAGUGCCUCUGUGCUACCAUUGCGUUCAGUUUCGACAGUAGCAUUCAGAUUCCACAGUAAAUUUCAGUUUUGACAGUUAAGUUCGGAGUCAACAGUUUUUACCUCAUCUGUUGUAGUCAGGUGGUUUUUGGUGAUGUUAAUUUUACAUCCAUUUUACAUCAUCUAUUGGAGAUGCUAUUAGAAUCCCAGUUGAGAUUGACUAUGUUUGUCUUGUGCUGCUUCAGCCUUGACGUCUUACGGCUCACCGGAGCUACUCCAACGACAGAACGAUCCGUCACAACAGAGCAGUGCCCUGGACGCUGUCUACAUCGCCCUCAGAUCUUCCUCCACACCUCCGACAGCCACCUCUGCCUCAACUGCUUCAGCGACCAACCCAAUGAUGCUGAGGUCGACACGGCUACGGCAAAGAGGUUGUACACUUGUUGCAUCACUUAUUACUAUACAUUCACGUCGAUCCAUUAGGGCUAUUUUGGUUCAAUGGAAAAACAUCGAUCCACUAGUUGUUACCAUCACUCUAAAUUUCUACAUGCUCUCCUUACAUAAUCUCACCAUAUUUUUUCAUAUGCAUGUCAGAUAUUGUACACAGUCAUGCUAAACAUGUAGAGAAAAAGAGAAGAGUUUUGUGCAGCAAUACAAUGUCAUGCAGACAUUGCUCCAUGGUGGGUUCAAUGGAAAACCCUCCCCACCCCUCUCCAGAUUGUAAUCCAGAGGAAGAUAUCUGUUCUGAGGCGGAUUCGGAACCCGCUGACCACUCCUAUUUACCCCCAAGGUGUUUGCUCUACCUUGGCAUGAUGAUGUUAGUCAUAUCAUGCAUAUGUUGCCUUGCAGUGCCUACUUUUGACAUCAUAUAUGUCAUCUGCUUAGUUUAGACAUAUUCUGUAAUGCCACCUGUUUAGUUUCCAUAUCAUAUAUGGGAAUUAUGCAGUCUCAUGUCUUUUAGCCAACCAUAAUAUAUGUGAAAUGUGCAAUGCCAUCCUGUUUAACCAGGCAUCAUAUAUUUGAAUGAUAUCUUGCCCAUCCUUUUCUUCAUUAUAUUUCCAUUUGUCGACAAUGUUUGUACAUUAAACUACUCUUCCUGUGAAUCAGCCAUUUGGGUGGGAGAUGGAAAAAUCUGGAGUGAAAACAAGGCCUUCAGAGUAGACAGUGCUACAUGUCGAAGCAGAUCUCUUGUUGGGUCCCGAUAGCUCCUCAGAGAUGGAUUCAGAGACAGAUGACCAGUCCUAUUCCCCCACUGAGGUGUAUGCUCUAACUUGGCACGGUUAUACUGCUCAUAUCAUGCAUACGGUGUCUUGCAUUGCAUAGUUUAGACAUCAUAUACACAAUAUUCAACACCAUGUUCUUAGUUCAGACAUCAUAUUGAAUGCCCUCUGUUUAGCAUAUAAAUCACAUAUGUGAAUUAAAUGAUGCGAUCCUGAUUACUUAGAUAACAUGUAGGUGAAUUAUGUCAUGCGAUCUUGUUUAGUUAUUCAUCAUAUCUUUGAAUUAUGUUAUGCUAUGCUAUCCAAUUUAGAUAGACAUCAUAUAUGUGAAAUUAUGUCAUGCUAUCCAUUUUAGUUAAACAAUAUACAUGUCAACUAUUUCAUGCCCUCUUUUUUCCACACUAUCUAUUGCAUCUGUCUCUCAUACAAUGUCUGUACAUUCAACUAUGUUUCCUGUUUAUCAGCCAUUUGAAUUGGAGCAGGUGAUGCCAGUAUCUAGCGGACUAAAAACACGGUCUUCAAAUAAAAUAGUGCUACCUCUUGGUGGAGAUAGCACCCCGGUUGUACAUGCACAAGAACCAGCCCUACCACAAAUAACCCAAACUCUCGCAGAUUGUACCCCUACUACGAUGGACAGAGAACCAGCUUCACCCAAUCUAACCCCAACCCCAGCCGAUAGUAACCUAGUUUAUGUUGACACAGCACCAUCUCCACCACAGAGCUCCCAAACAAGAGCAAUUAGUAAGGCAGCUCCAGUGCCCAAAGGGCCAGUACUAUCACGGCGAACCCCAACUCCACCAGUUAGUACGCCUAUUCCUGUGAGGAAGCACAACCAGCUAGUCGUAGUUUAGCAUCUAUCGCAUUUGAUGUUAUUAAAUCGUAUGUACGUAUCUUCCCAUCUUGGAAAUAUUAUACUGAAGAUGAAGGAAAAUGCCAGUUGCAGGUGUAUGUCCAGGAGUUAUGUGCAAGUAAUGUUAUUCAUGGCAAUUACUUUGCUUUGUCCCAUACAUCCUACCUCCAUGAUGUUUAUAAUACAGCAAAUUUUCCCAUUUUUCUCUAUAGAGAAGGACCGAUUUGGAAACUCGGGAUGAGGUAACCUGUGCUAAUACCUCUGCUAUCUUCAAGAAUGCUUGGUGGCAGUAUCGGAAUUACCUGAAGAAAACGUACUUCACUCGCAAAGAAACUCAUCAAAUUCCCUUACAUUCUCCUGAGACACAUUUACUGGACGAUGAAUGGGAAUGCCUUGUUCUGUACUGGUCCCGAACCAAGAAUGUGGUAAGGUCUAUGAGCUCAUUUUCUAUUUUUAAGUAUUAUAUUCUUGCGUCUUACUGUACUCUGUUCAUGUAGAACAAGUGCCUAAACCUGAAGAACAACUGUUCUAAUUUAAGAUUCCAUUGCUACCAUAGGACAUAGAUAUACGUUUGUUUGAUGCUUUUAUUAUGUACUAGUACUUGGCAAUAGAAGACUUGGUAGUUUAAUCCUGUCCACCUUACUAAUGAACUGGUUCACCGAAAUGAGUUUCAUAUACUAGUACAUGCUAAACUUGUUAUGUGUCUACUUGUUUCUUCUUUUAGAAUGCUGAUAGAAUAUUGGGGAAGAGUGCCUUAUUAAGCAACGGUAAAGGAAGUAAUGCAGAUAAGGUUCAGGAUAGUGACACAUCCUGUCUUGGUUUAGUGUUGGAGUUACUGGCCACUACCGCUUGCACAAGCUAUUCAAACUCACUGUCUGAAUCAGUUCGGUUUCUUGAGUCUCAACUACAAGCUGAAAGACAUCGAUCAGCUGUGCUGCGACAAGAAGCGGAAGGACUGCGAAAGUCCCUGGAGCAUUCAGAUGCAUACUUUCUGGUGCAACAGCAAGCAUUGGAGGAUUUUAGCGCCAAACAAGACAAAGCUAAUCAGCUUGCUAAGCUUAUUGCCAGCAUGGUGGAUACCCAGGAUAACAUUUCUUGAGCUCUUCUGAAGUUGUUUCAGUUAUGCUCUUGUUUUGCUGCCGCGUUUAUUUGCACUGGUGGCCAAUUUUGACGGCCAGUGUAUAUGAUAUGCUGCUUUGUUCCCUAUAUUUGCAUUGGUGGUGAACUUUGAUGCCCAGUGGAUGUAAUAUGUGUAAUAGCCGUGAUAGCCUAGCGUUAGUUGCUUGCUUAUUUAUUUCCUUGUUGUCUUGUUUAUUUGUUUUCUUGUAGUCAUUGCAGUUCUUUUUCCGCGGUUAACUAGUGGCUGCAAUAACCUAUUUUUUAAAACUAGGCCACAAUAACCAUGGGCUAAUAUUUACUGUAGUGACACUGGGCCUCCUACGAGCCAUAGAAACAGUGGGCCUUCUACGGGCCGUAGAAAUAGUAGGCCUUCUACGGGCCGUAGAAACAAUGGGCCUUCUACGGGCCAUAUCAUCAAUGGGCCCUAUACGGGCCGUAUGAUCGAUUGGCCAAACAUGGGCCAAUAACAGGCCACAUUAUGGCCGUAAACGGGAUAGAGUUGGAAUCGUCCAUUCAUGGGCCGACCGUAACGGGCCAUCGUUAAUAGGCCGUAUUUUAUGACGCUAUGAAAACGGCCCAACGUAUUAACGGACCACAAAUGGGCCGACUGUAACCACGGGCUGAAUUUGGCCCAUAAGCAGAAAAUGACAGUAACGGGCCGUAAGUAAACGAAUGCUGGAAAUGAGCCCAAGAAUAAAUGGGCUCUGAGAAGGCCGAAAGAUAACAUGGGCUGGAAAUGGCCCAACGGAAUAACGGGCCGUUAAUGGGUAUAAAGUGAUACACUAUUCAUUACGGGCCAGUUUCACCACGGGCCGUUAAUGGGUGUAAAGUGAUACACUGUUCAUUACGGGCCAGUUUCACCACGGGCCAUUAAUAGGCCAAGAGUUACAUAGGGCCUCAUAUGGGCCGAAAGACGUCAUGGGCCAUACAUGGGUUAGAAAUGAAAACGGGCUGGAAUCAUAUUGGAUGGCCCAGAUGACGCUACUGGGCCUAAUUCGGAUAGGGCAUAACGGGCCUUGGGUUAGCGGGCUGUAAAUGGGCUAUAUGCGAAUAGGCCGUUAACAGGCUUUCCAUGGGCCGGCCCGCCACCUUUUGACAAAGUCAAACGGGCCGACCUUUUCACAGGAAUGGGCCUCUGUUGGGCCAUGCCACGUGUCGACGUAUCAUAGGCGCCUUCCGUCCAAUGAGUGGUUGACAUCUGUCCCAACGAUGAGCCGACACGUGUUUCCUCCAGCCAAUGAUGAUUUUACACGUGGAAAAUCCCAUUUGGUCGGGGAUGUUAAUGGGUUAUCGGAUCCAAAACCCGACCCGAUAGCUUAACGGUGUUCCGUUACGGUGGAUGCCACGUGUCGGUCACCCUUGACGAAAGCACUUCUAUGACGCGUGAUUUAUCGUCAUGGAAGUGGACACUUCCGUGAUGAUAAUUUUGGUAAUGUCAUGGAACACUUCUACGACAGCACAAGUAUGACUAUCUUGAUUCUGUCAUAAAUUUAUCAUGGAUGUACAUGCAUGACUAAAAAAGCGACCUACUGUGACAAACACGUAUCAUCACGGAAGUGUAUUUUUUGUAGUGCAAUUUCCUCUAGUGCUUCACUUAUAUCUUUUUAGAGCACAGUGGUGGCUUUAUUUUAUAGAAAUUAUUGAACUCUCAUGCUUCACACAUAUUAUUUUGAGAGUCUAAACAGCAUGGUAAUUUGCUUUGGUUAUAAAUUUAGUCCUAAUAUGAUAGACAUCCAAGAGGGGUAUAAUAAAAACUUUCAUAUAAAGUGCAUUGAAUACUAUGAGAAGUUUGAUUCCUUAUAAUUGUUUUGAGAUAUAAAGAUGGUGAUAUUAGACUCAUGCUAGUGAGUAAUUGUGGAUUGUAGAAAUACUUGUGUUAAAGUUUGUGAUUCUCGUAGCAUGCACGUAUGGUGAACCGUUAUGUCAUGAAGUUGGAGCAUGAUUUAUUUAUUGAUUGUCUUACUUAUGAGUGGCGGUCGGGGACGAGCGAUGGUCUUUUCCUACCAAUCUAUUCCCUAGGAGCAUGCGCGUAGUACUUCGUUUCGAUAACUAAUAGAUUUUUGCAAUAAGUAUGUGAGUUCUUUAUGACUAAUGUUGAGUCCAUGGAUUAUACGCACUCUCACCCUUCCACCAUUGCUAGCCUCUCUAGUACCGCGCAACUUUCGCUUGUACCAUACACCCACCAUAUACCUUCCUCAAAAUAGCCGCCAUACCUACCUAUAAUGGCAUUUCCAUAGCCAUUCCGAGAUAUAUUGCCAUGCAAGUUGUUGGGGAUCGUUGCAGAAAUUUAAAAUUUUCUACGCAUCACCAAGAUCAAUCUAUGGAGAAACUAGAAACGAGAGAGAGAGAGAGAGGGGAGUGCAUCUUCAUACCCUUGAAGAUCGUGACACGGAAGCGUUACAAGAAUGCGGAUGAGGGAGUCAUACUCGUGGCGAUUCAGAUCAUGGUAGAUUCCGAUCCAAGCGCUGAACAACGGUGCCUCCGCAUUCAACACACGUGCAGACCGGUGACGUCUCCCACACCUUGAUCCAGCAAGGAGAGAGGGAGAGUGAGGGAGUCCUGGAUUAGGGGGUGUUCGGAUAGCCGAAUUAUACCUUCAGCCGGACUCCUGGACUAUGAAGAUACAAGAUUGAAGACUCCGUCCCGUGUCUGGAAGGGAUUUUCCUUGGCGUGGAAGGCAAGCUUGGCGAUACGGAUGUUCAGAUCUCCUACCAUUGUAACCGACUCUAUGUAACCCUAACCCUAUCCGGUGUCUAUAUAAACCGAAGGGUUCUAGUCCGUAGGACGACAUACACAUCUACAAUCAUACCAUAGGCUAGCUUCUAGGGUUUAGCCUCUCUGAUCUCGUGGUAGAUCAACUCUUGUAUUACCCAUAUCAUCAAUAUUAAUCAAGCAGGACGUAGGGUUUUGCCUCCAUCGAGAGGGCCUGAACCUGGGUAAAACUUCAUGUCCCCUACCUCCUGUUACCAUCCGGCCUAGACGCAUAGUUCGGGACCCCCUACCCGAGAUCCGCCGGUUUUGACACCGACAUUGGUGCUUUCAUUGAGAGUUCCUCUGUGUCGUCGCCGUUAGGCCCGAUGGCUCCUACGAUCAUCAAUGGCGAUGCAGUCCAGGGUGAGACCUUCCUCCCCGGACAGAUCUUCGUCUUUGGCGGCUUCGCACUGCAAGCCAAUUCACUUGGCCAUCUAGAGCAGAUCGAAAGCUACGCCCCUGGCCGUCAGGUCAGAUUCGGAAGUUCAAACUACACGGCUGACAUCCGCGGGGACUUGAUCUUCGACGGAUUUGAACCACUGCCGAGCGCGCCGCACUGUCACGAUGAGCAUGAUCUAGCUCUGCCGCCGAACAGAGCCCUGGAGGCCGCACCCGCAUCGGCUCCGACCCCUAGUUCGGAGCCGACCGCGCCGAUCGAGGAUGGGCGGUUGGACGCCACCUCAGGGGCUGUGAUCCCAACGGCGGUUGAGCCGAACACCAGCCCCGUACUCUGCAAGACUCGUGACUCCAUGGAGCCGGAUUCUUCUCCGGACUCCGAACCCUCCGCGCCCCUGCCGAGCAAAUCCGAUUGGGUGCCGAUCAUGGAGUUCACGGCCGCGGACGUCUUUCAGCACUCGCCUUUCGGCGAUAUCCUGAAAUCACUGAAGUCUCUCUCUUUGUCAGGAGAGCCCUGGCCAGACUACGGUUAGCAAGGUUGGGGUACGGACGAUGAAGAAAUUCAAAACCCACCCACCACCCACAUGGUAGCCACUGUCGACAACUUAACCGACAUGCUCGACUUCGACUCCGAAGACAUCGACGGUAUGGACACCGAUGAAGGACAUGAUGAAGAACCAGUGCCCACUAGGCCCUGGAAAGCCACCUCGUCAUAUGACAUAUACAUGGUGGACACCCCAAAAGAGGGAGAGGGCGAUGGAACAGCGGAGGAUGACCCCUCCAAGAAACAGCAAAAGCGCCGGCGUCAGCGGCCGCUCAAAAUCCCGCCAACACAAAAACGGCGAUUCCAGCACGGGAGAUAAUAAUACCCCGGAAAGCGCCGAAGAACAUCCCCCCGAGCAAGAUUUAGCACAGGAGGAUGGAGAAACCAGUCCUCAUGAGGGAGCGGCCGACAGAGAGGUCGAGGACAAUAAUUGUAUGCCUCCCUCCGAAGACGAGGCAAGCCUCGACGACGACAAGUUUGCCGUGCCAGAGGAUCCCGUCGAUCAAGAGCGUUUUCAACGCAGGCUUAUGGCCACGGCAAGAAGCCUCAAGAAAAAAUAGCAACAGCUUAAAGCUGAUCAAGAUCGGCUAGUCGAUAGAUGGACUGAAGUCCUUGCAGUCGAAGAGCAUAAACCCGAACGCCCCUCCAAGUGCUACCCGAAGCGCAGUUUGCUACCCCGAUUAGAGGAGGAAGCACUCGACACGGCCGAUAGGCCACCUCGUGGCCGCGACAGAGAGGCCUCAUGUCCCUCCACCCAAGCUGCACCCCGUACUAAGGCACGGGAAUAUGCGCCGGACUUACGAGACAUGUUGGAGGACAAGACAAGGCAAACAAGAUCGAUCUACGGAUCACGUAGGCACCCCAUGGCUCGAGACGACAACCGUCACGCCAGCCACAAAUUCGGCAGGGCCGAACAUAGUAGACAAAGCUCAUCGGAGCUACGUCAUGAUAUCGCCCAAUACAGAGGCGCCGCACACCCAUUGUGCUUCACAGACGAAAUAAUGGAUCAUCAAAUCCCUGAGGGUUUCAAACCCGUAAACAUCGAAUCAUAUGAUGGCUCAACAGAUCCCGUGGUAUGGAUCGAGGAUUAUCUCCUUCAUAUCCACAUGGCCCGCGGUGAUGAUUUCCACGCCAUCAAAUACCUCCCACUCAAGCUUAAAGGACCAGCCCGGCAGUGGCUUAACAGCCUGCCAACAGGGUCAAUCAGCUAUUGGGAGGACCUGGAAGCCGCAUUCCUCGACAAUUUCCAGGGCACUUACGUGUGACCCCCAGACGCUGACGACCUAAGCCACGUGAUUCAGCAGCCAGACGAAUCGGCCAGGCAAUUCUGGACAUGGUUCCUAACAAAGAAAAAUCAAAUACUCGACUGUCCGGACGCAGAGGCCUUAGCAGCCUUUAAGCAUAAUAUCUGUGAUGAGUGGCUUUCCCGGCACCUAGGACAAGAGAAGCCGAAAUCUAUGGCAGCACUCACGGCACUCAUGACCCGCUUUUGCACGGGAGAAGGCAGCUGGCUUGCUCGUAGCAACAAUAUGACCAAGAACCCUGGUCGUUCGGACACCAGGGACAUUAGUGGCAGGUCGCGUCGCAACCAACAGAAGCACCGCAUCAACAGCGACAAUGCUAAGGAUACGGCAGUUAAUGCCGGAUUCAGAGGCUCUAAAUCCGGUCAGCGGAAAAAAUUGUUCAAAAGGAAUCCCAGGGGCCCGUCCAGCUUGGACCGAAUACUCGACCGCUUGUGCCAAAUACAUGGCACCCCCGAAAAGCCGGCCAAUCACACCAACAGGGACUGUUGGGUGUUCAAGCAGGCAGGAAGAUUAAGCGUCGACAAUGAAGACAAGGGGUUGCAUAGCGAUGACGAGGAGGAGCCCCGGCCGCCGAACAACAAUGGACAGAAGGGUUUUCCCCCACAAGUGCGGACGGUGAACAUGAUAUACGCCACCCACGUCCCCAAAAAGGAGCGGAAGCGCGCGUUAAGGGACGUAUACGCGGUAGAGCCAGUCGCCCCAAAGUUCAACCCAUGGUCCUCCUGCCCGAUCACCUUUGAUCGAAGAGACCAUCCCACUAGCAUCCGUCAUGGCGGAUUCGCCGCAUUGGUUCUUGACCCAAUCAUUGAUGGAUUUCAUCUCACUAGAGUCCUUAUGGACGGCGGCAGUAGCCUGAACCUGCUUUACCAGGAUACAGUGCGGAAAAUGGGCAUAGAUCCCUCAAGGAUUAAGCCCACCAAAACGACCUUUCAAGGCGUAAUACCAGGUGUAGAGGCCAGCUGCACAGGCUCGGUCACACUUGAAGUGGUCUUCGGAUCUCCGGAUAAUUUCCGAAGCGAGGAGUUAAUCUUCGACAUAGUCCCGUUCCGCAGUGGCUAUCACGCACUGCUCGGGCGAACCGCAUUCGCCAAGUUCAAUGCGGUCCCGCACUACGCAUACCUUAAGCUCAAGAUGCCAGGCCCUCGAGGAGUAAUUACGGUCAACGGAAACACCGAACGCUCCCUACGAACGGAGGAGCACACGGCGGCCCUUGCAGCGGAAGUACAAAGCAGCCUCUCCAGGCAGUUCUCCAGUCCGGCCAUUAAACGUCCGGACACAGUCAAGCGCGCCCGGAGUAACCUACAACAAGACCGCCUGGCACGUUCCGAGCAGGUGUAGCAAUGCGGCCCCAACCCCAACCCCCGCAAAAAGGCGACGCCAGUACUUCGCGUCCAUAACUAUGCUCUGGAAAUACCAUGGGCAUAGGGGAAGGGGCACCAUCACGGCACGCCCAAAACACGGCUUAAACCGCACCAGGGGCUGCCGAAUUUUUUUACUUUUCUCUUACUUCCAGGACUCUACUCUUAGGAAGGCUUGUUCGGCAGUUUAAUUGCCGCACAAACGAUGCAAGAACCAGGGAAGCAGACAAGCCAUGCUGCAUUCCGGAAAUCACAGGUGGUCUCUAUCACGAGUAGUAUACCUGUUUCGCAUACUAUUCCGCAGCUUGCCCCUGGAGCAGACAUGUUAAAUAGUCCAGCGUUUCGUUUAUCACAUUACUUGUAUCGUUCUGCUUUGAUCACAUCUAUUUUCAUGAACAAUGCAUAGCUUUUGCCCAUUUUUUGCAUUACCUUUAUAUAUAUAUAUAUAUAUAUAUAUAUAUAUAUAUAUAUAUAUAUAUAUAUGUUCCUUAAUGACAUGUUGCACCCAUACACUUUGGUACGGCCAAAAUAUGCCAGGGGCUUCAGUACCCCUCAACAUGGUGUGAGAAGUCCAAACACUUUAACAAGUGCGGCACCCCGAACUUAUAGCAUUAUAUGCAUCGGCUCUGAAUCAUGUCUUGGGUCAAUAGUUUGGUUUGCCCGGCUCCUAUGUUUUGGUGCCUUACGUUCCGCUAUAUCGGCUAAGGUAGCACUAGGAGAACCAUUGCGAUUGUGCCCCAGUUGAGCUGGGUCGAGCACCUCAGUGGAGAAAGCUAAAACUAACUGUCAUGAUGAAGCGAGAGCUGGUCGCUGUUCGAGAGGUUUUUUUGAGUCCCUAAAGACUUAUGCCGCUUCGAGCGAGGAGUCGGCUCUGUCCAGCCAAGGCGUGGAUAGCGCCCCGAAAUCGGUAUUCCGAAUACUAGGGGCUUCGCCGAAAUUUAAAAUUAUAGAAUUCUAUGGCUAAGUGAGAAUGUUCACGCAUUAUAGUUCGAUUGCCUUGUUCGUUGGGCUGAGCGCCUCCCUCAAAGGACCCAAAUAUGGGGAAAAGAGCGCCCAGGUUUAUCCCCGAACACCCCAGCACUAGUGGCAUGGGGGCAGAAGCCGACGACUCGCCAUCUCUCAGUAUUGAUAAACAGACACACAGAAGGUAAUAUUUUAAAUUCAAGCAGCAUUGCUUAGCGCAUAUGAACAAGUUUUCAGCGCACAGGAUAACACGAGCGGGUUUUACUCAAAAAAUACAUCCUUGGUACAUUCAUCCGCAACAAGGUAGGCACCCUUCAGAACAUCCUUAUAAUACUUCUCGGGCUUGCGAUGCUCUUUCCCUGGCGGUGGCCCAUCCUUCACAAGCUUCUCCGCAUCUAGCUUGCCCCAGUGCACCUUAGCACGGGCAAGGGCCCUACGGGCACCUUCAAUGCAGACGGAGCGCUUGAUGUCUUCAAGCCCCGAACAGGCCUCCACCAGCCGCCGCACCAGCCCGAAAUAGCUCCCAGGCAGAGCCUCUCCAAGCCACAGCCGAACUAGGAGGCCCUUCACGGCCUGUUCAGCCGCCUUGUGGAGCUCGACCAGUUGCUUCAGCUGGUCGCUCAGGGGCACGGGGUGUCCGGCCUCAGCGUACUGAGACCAGAACACCUUCUCCGUCGAGCUGCCCUCCUCGGCUCGAUAGAAUGCGGCGGCAUCAGAUACACUCCGGGGAAGAUCUGUGAAUGCUCCUGGAGAGCUCCGGAUUCGGGUAAGUAACAGGUAACUCACGUUUAUGUGUUUGCUUUGCAUAAAGAAUGCCUUACCCGCCGCAAUCUUCUUCACCUCAUCCAACUCCUGGAGGGUCUUCUGGGACUCGGCCUUGGCAGACUUGGCAUUUUCUAUAGCUGCCGCGAGCUCGGACGCCCGCGUCUUCGAGUCAAGCUCCAAACUCUCAUGUUUCUUCAUGAGAACCUGGAGCUCUUGCUGCACCUUGCCAACCUCAGCCUCAUACCUCUCCCGCUCGGUGCGCUCCACGGCCGCACUCUUCUCGGCCUCGAGCAGCGCUUGCUUAAGGGUCGCCACCUCAGACGUGGCCCCUGCAAUAGACAUGUCAAUCCUGUCAUUUUUUGCAAUUGCACCUUUUUUAUAUACAUAUUCAAACAGGGUAUUUCUUACCUUCCUUCUCCUCGAGCUGCUUAGCACGCCCGAGCUCUUGCUCAGACUUCUCGAGACUCUGCUUCAGCACGUCCACUUCCGCAGUCGGUGCGGCGGACGCUAGCAGAGAAGCCUGCAUAUGCAUAUUGACUCCUUUUGUUAGACUCCUGCGAAUUCUUUGAUCCUCUAUUCGGCUUUUCUUCUCGAACACCCAACAGAGCAUCAGGGGCUACUGUCUAUGCGGUAACAUUAUUUGAACAUUCUUUACUUACCUCAAAGCCUGUUAAAAGGCUUGUACAAGCUUCAGUCAGUCCGCUUUUGCCGGACUGAACCUUCUGGAUCACUGUACUCAUAAUAGUGCGGUGCCCCUCAUCGAUGCAGGCACCUUGGAGCGCCUCCAACAUAUUGUCCGGCGCCUCUGGUUGGACGGAGGCCACCGGCACGGUAGGCUUACUCCUCUUGGAAGGAGGUCGCCCACCGGACUCUGGAACCCUUGAAGAUUCUGGAGCUGUGUCCGGCCUUAAGACGGACUUGGAGCCCUGGGGGGUUUCAUCCCCUUUACUCCUGGAGUCCGGGAGGUCGCCUUGCGGCGCCUCCAGGACCACCUCCUCCCGGCUUAGAACCUAUUGGGACAACACUUCGGUGUUGUCCGCAGGGCGGGGGGAUGAAGACGUCGGAAGCAAGUUCACCUCCGACGGGUCCAGUGAGCCGCUCGACGAUGCGUUGAGCCGGUCUUUGGGUGGGCUGCAUAAACAUAUUCGACAUAAGGAAAAGCUGUGCGAAAAACGAAUACUAUGAAUUACCCCGGUAUCUGGACACUUACAAUUUCGCCAGGGGCUUGGCCCUGGGCUGCCACUCCUCUUCGUCGUCGUCGGCGUCGGUGGAGCAGUCCGGAGGAAGGGUUUUCCCCUUCUUGGACCCUCCGUCCUCCUCGGAGAGGGCGGCCUUCCUUUUCUUCUCUCCUCCCGCUGGAGGGGAAGAGGUCUCUUCUUCUUCCUCCUCGUCUUCACGAGAGGAAGGUGCUUCGGGGCCGUCGGAUGACGAAUCCGACACCUCCUGGCGCCGGGCACUCUUUCGAGUCCCCGUGGCCCUUUUCGUGGCCUUCUUCUCCGGCACCACAUAGGGUGCCGGAACCAGCAGCUUCGCCAAGCGAGCGUCUGCUGGGCCUUCGGGCAGAGGAACCAGACAGUUGAUCUGUCCGGACGUCGCCACCCAAUCCUAUCAAAGAUAAGGGAACUCAGAUCCCGCAUAGAGUCAAACUAUGAAAAACUGGUACCCUGUAAAAGGACAAAAACGGCUUACCACAUGAGCGUGAUGCUGAGUACUGAAUCCGCGAUCCUCGGCAGCGGAUGCGGGAGCUUCGGCGCCCUUGAAAAGCACCCUCCAGGCAUCUUCAUACGUCAUGUCAAAGAGCCUGUUUAGAGUUUGAUGUUGCGCCGGGUCGAACUCCCAUAGGUUGAAGGCCCGUCGUUGACACGGGAGGAUCGAGCGGAUGAGCAUAACCUGGACUACGUUGACAAGCUUGAGCUUCUUGUCCACCAGGGUUUGGAUGCAUGUUUGGAGUCCGAUCAGCUCCCCUUUUUUACCCCACGACAGGUCGGUCUCCUUCUAGGAGGUGAGCCGCGUAGGGGGUCCGGACCGAAACUCGGGGGCUGCGACCCAUUUGGGAUCGCACGGCUUGGUGAUGUAAAACCACCCUGAUUGCCACCCUUUCAGGGUCUCCACAAAGGAGCCCUCGAGCCACAGGAUGUUGGCCAUCUUGCCAACCAUGGCAUCGACGCACUCCGCCUGGCUGCCGCGCACCACCUUCGGCUUGACGUUGAAAGUCUUGAGCCAUAGGCCGAAAUGGGGACAGAUGCGGAGGAAAGCCUCGCACACGACGAUAAACGCCGAGAUGUUGAGGACAAAGUUCGGGGCCAGAUCGUGGAAAUCCAGGCCGUAGUAGAACAUGAGCCCCGGGACAAAUGGGUGCAGAGGGAAGCCCAGUCCGCGGAGGAAAUGAGGGAGGAAUACCACCCUCUCAUGGGGCCUGGGAAUGGGGAUGAGCUGCCCCGUUUCGGGAAGCCGGUGUGCGAUGUUGCUAGCUAGAUAUCCGGCCUUCCUCAGCUUUUUGAUGUGUCCCUCCGUGACGGAGGAGACCAUCCACUUGCCUCCCGCUCCGGACAUGACUGGAGAAGGUCGAGGUGGUAGUGCGGACUUGGGCGCUGGAGCUCAAGUGCGCAAGAAUGGAUAGGCAGAGGAGGAAGAAGGCGUGGGUGAAAAGGUGGAUCCUUAUCCCCUUAUAUGGGUGGACGCGACUACAUGCCCCCACCAGCCUGGUAAAACUUGCUUAUCUUCAAGCGCCGUAAUCAAAGGCGCGGUUGGGUUACUCACGCCCGUAUUGAUGAGAAUCCCGGAAUAAAGGGACACGAUCUCUGCUUUGACAAGACGUGCCAAGGAAACCGCCUCGCAUAACGCACUGAGGUGGGAUAAUGAAACGAUUUGGAUACAGGCUUGGCAGUGGCGUGUCGCACCAUGGAAUACGUCAGCAUAUUAGAUUUGUGUUAAUAUUAUUAUUCUCUCUAUGGCAAUAUGUGGAAACUUAUUUUGCAGAGAAGGACACUAUCUUUGUGUUCAAAAUCUUCUAUGGAGUGCUUGGAGGAGGAACCCGCCUUGCAAUUCCGAAGACAAUUUGCGCGCCGGACUCGUCGUCAUUGAAGCCUGGUUCAGGGGCUACUGAGGGAGUCCUGGAUUAGGGGGUGUUCGGAUAGCCGAAUUAUACCUUCAGCCGGACUCCUGGACUAUGAAGAUACAAGAUUGAAGACUCCUUCCCGUGUCUGGAAGGGAUUUUCCUUGGCGUGGAAGGCAAGCUUGGCGAUACGGAUGUUCAGAUCUCCUACCAUUGUAACCGACUCUAUGUAACCCUAACCCUAUCCGGUGUCUAUAUAAACCGAAGGGUUCUAGUCCAUAGGACGACAUACACAUCUACAAUCAUACCAUAGGCUAGCUUCUAGGGUUUAGCCUCUCUGAUCUCGUGGUAGAUCAACUCUUGUAUUACCCAUAUCAUCAAUAUUAAUCAAGCAGGACGUAGGGUUUUACCUCCAUCGAGAGGGCCCGAACCUGGGUAAAACUUCGUGUCCCCUGCCUCCUGUUACCAUCCGACCUAGACGCACAGUUCGGGACCCCCUACCCGAGAUCCGCCAGUUUUGACACCGACAGAGAGGUUGGGGAAGACUCCGUCCAGCAGCAGCACGACGGUGUGGUGGUGUUGGAGCAGCGUGGUACUCUGGCAGGGCUUCGCCAAGCGUCGCGGGAGGAGGAGGAGGUGUUGGGGAGGGGGGCUGCGCCUUGGAUGUGGUGUGGCUGCCCUCCCACCUCCCCUAUAUUUAUAGGGGCAAGGGAGAAGGGGGGCGGCCCCCUCCAGAUGGAUCUAGAGGGGGGCGGCGGCCAAGGGGGGAGGCUUGCCCCCCAAGCCAAGGGGGGCGCCCCCUUUAGGGUUCCCCCAAACACUAGGCGCAUGGGCCCUAGGGGGUUUGGAGCCCAGCCCACCUAGGGGCUGGUUCCCCCUCCAUAUUCAGCCCAUAGGGCCCUUCGGGGCAGGUGGACCCCCGGAACCCUUUCGGUGGUCCCGGUACAAUACUGAUAAACCCGUGAACACUUCCGGCGACCGAAUAAGGACUUCCCAUAUAUAAAUCUUUGUCUCCGGACCAUUUCGGAACUCCUCGUUACGUCCAGGAUCUCAUCCGGGACUCCGAACAACAUUCAGUAACCACGUACAAACUUUCGCUAUAACCCUAGUGUCAUCGAACCUUAAGUGUGUAGACCCUACGGGUUCGGGAAUCAUGCAGACAUGACCGAGGCAUCUCUCUAGCCAAUAACCAACAGCGGGAUCUGGAUACCCAUGUUGGCUCCUACAUGUUCCACGAUGAUCUCAUCGGAUGAACCACGAUGUCGAGGAUUCAAUUAAUCCCGUAUACAAUUCCCUUUGUCUACCGGUAUAGCACUUGCCCGAGAUACGGUCGUCGGUAUACCGAUACCUUUUUCAAUCUCGUUAUGGCAAGUCUCUUUACUCGUUCCAUAACACAUCAUCCCGUGACCAACCCCUUAGUCACAUUGAGCUCAUUACGAUGAUGUCUUACCGAGUGGGCCCAGAGAUACCUCUCCGUCAUACGGAGUGAUAAAUCCCAGUCUCGAUUCGUGCCAACCCAACAGAUACUUUCGGAGAUACCCGUAGUGCACCUUUAUAGCCACCCAGUUACUUGUGACGUUUGGCACACCCAAAGCAUUCCUACGGUAUCUAGGAGUUGCACAAUCUCAUGGUCUAAGGAAAAGAUACUCGACAUUAGAAAAGCUUUAGCAGACGAACUACACGAUCUUGUGCUAUGCUUAGGAUUGGGUUUUGUCCAUCACAUCAUUCUCCUAAUGAUGUGAUCCCGUUAUCAAUGACAUCCGAUGUCCAUGGUCAGGAAACCGUAACCAUCUAUUGAUCAACGAGCUAGUCAACUAGAGGCUCACUAGGGACAUGUUGUGGUCUAUUUAUUCACACAUGUAUUAUGAUUUCCGGAUAACACAAUUAUAGCAUGAACAAUAGACAAUUAUCAUGAACAAGAAAAUAUAAUAAUAACCAUUUUAUUAUUGCCUCUAGGGCAUAUUUCCAACACAACUUUCCACCGUUCCAUUUAUUAUGACACGCUUCAUCAUUGUCAUAUUGCUUUACAUGAUCAUGUAGUUGACAUGGUAUUUGUGGCAAAGCCACCGCUCAUAAUUUUUAUAUAUGUCACUCUUGAUUCAUUGCACAUCCUGGUACACCACCGGAGGCAUUCAUAUAGAGUCAUAUUUUGUUCUAAGUAUCUAGUUGUAAUUCUUGAGUUGUAAGUAAAUAAAAGUGUGACGAUUUUCAUUAUUAGAGCAUUGUCCCAUGUGAGGAAAGGAUGAGGGAAGCUAUGAUUCCCCCAAAAGUCGGGAUGAGUCUUUGCUUUACAAAAAAAUAAAAGAGGCCAAAGAAGCCCAUUCAAAAAAAUGAGAGAAAAGAGAGAAGCGGCAAUGUUAUUAUCCUUUUACCACACUUGUGCUUCAAAGUAGCACCAUGAUCUUCAUGAUAGACAGUCUCCUAUGUUUUCACUUUCAUAUACUAGUGGAAAUUUUUUUCAUUAUAGAACUUGGCUUGUAUAUUCCAAUGAUGGGCUUCCUCAAAUUGCCCUAGGUCAUCGUGAGCAAGCGAGCUGGAUGCACACCCACUUAGUUUCUUUUUGAGCAUUCAUAAACUUAUAGCUCUAGUGCAUCCGUUGCAUGGCAAUCCCUACUCACUCACAUUGAUAUCUAUUGACGAGCAUCUCCAUAGCCCGUUUAUACGCCUAGUUGAUGUGAGACUAUCUCCUUCUUUUUGUUUUCUCCACAACCACCAUAUUUUAUUCCACCUAUAGUGUAUGAAAGCUCAUGUAUUGCAUGAAAGUUGAAAAAGUUUGAGAACAUCAAAAGUAUGAAACAAUUGCUUGGCUUAUCAUCGGGGUUGUGCAUGAUUUGAAUAUUUUGUGUGAUGAAGAUGGAGCAUAGCCAAACUAUAUGAUUUUGUAGGGAUAAGCUUUCUUUGGCCAUGUUAUUUUGAGAAGACAUAAUUGCCUUGUUAGUAUUCUUUAAGUAUUAUUGUUUUUAUGUCAAUAUUAAACUUUUGUUUUGAAUCUUAUGGAUCUGGAUAUUCAUGCCACAAUAAAGAAAAAUUACAUGGAUAAAUAUGUUAGGAAGCAUUCCACAUCAAAAAUUCUGUUUUUAUCAUUUACCUACUCGAGGAUGAGCAGGAAUUAAGCUUGGGGAUGCUUGAUACGUCUCCAACAUAUCUAUAAUUUUUGAUUGUCCCAUACUAUUAUAUUAUCUGUUUUGGAUGUUUUAUAUGCAUUAUUAUGCUAUUUUAUAUUAUUUUUGGGACUAAUUUAUUAACCUAGAGCCCAGUGCCAGUUUCGCGGAGAUUUUUCUUCACGAUGAUUUUUUAGCUUUGCGGAGAAGGAAUACCAAACGGAAUAAAACCUUCGCGAUGAUUUUUCUUGGACCAGAAGACACCCUAGAGACUUGAAGACUAAGUCAGAAGAUCCCCGAGGCGGGCACAAGGGGGUAGGNNNNNNNNNNNNNNNNNNNNNNNNNNNNNNNNNNNNNNNNNNNNNNNNNNNNNNNNNNNNNNNNNNNNNNNNNNNNNNNNNNNNNNNNNNNNNNNNNNNNNNNNNNNNNNNNNNNNNNNNNNNNNNNNNNNNNNNNNNNNNNNNNNNNNNNNNNNNNNNNNNNNNNNNNNNNNNNNNNNNNNNNNNNNNNNNNNNNNNNNNNNNNNNNNNNNNNNNNNNNNNNNNNNNNNNNNNNNNNNNNNNNNNNNNNNNNNNNNNNNNNNNNNNNNNNNNNNNNNNNNNNNNNNNNNNNNNNNNNNNNNNNNNNNNNNNNNNNNNNNNNNNCCGCAACCUUCUGUUCCCGUGAGAUCCCAUCUUGGGGCCUUUUCCGGCAUCCUGUCGGAGGGGGAUUCGAUCACGGAGGGCUUCUACAUCAACUGUAUUGCCCUUCCGAUGAAGCGCAAGUAGUUUACCUCAGAUCAUGGAGGGCUUCUACAUCAACUGUAUUCUCAAUACCAUGUUCUCCUCGAUGUUCUUGGAGAUCUAUCCGAUGUAAUCUUCUUUUGCGGUGUGUUUGUCGAGAUCCGAUGAAUUGUGGGUUUAUGAUUAGCUUAUCUACGAAUAUUAUUUGAAUCUUAUUUAAAUUCUUUUAUGCAUGAGUUGAUAUCUUUGUAAUUCUCUUCGAACUAUUGGUUUAGUUUGGCCAACUAGAUUGGUUUUUCUUGCAAUGGGAUAAGUGCUUAGCUUUGGGUUCAAUCUUGCGGUGUCCUUUCCCAGUGAUAGUAGGGGCAGGAAGGCACGUAUUGUAUUGUUUCCAUCGAGGAUAAAAAGAUGGGGUUUACAUCAUAUUGCUUGAGUUUAUUCCUCUACAUCAUGUCAUCUUACUUAAUGCGUUGCUCUGUUUUUCAUGAACUUAAUACUCUAGAUGCAGGCAGGAGUCGGUUGAUGUGUGGAGUAAUAGUAGUAGAUGCAGGCAGGAGUCGGUCUACUUGAUAUGGAUGUGAUGCCUGUAUUUCAUAAUCAUUGCCUUAGAUAUCGUCAUAGCUUUGCGCUUUUCUAUCAAUUGCUCAACAGUAAUUUGUUCACCCACCAUAUUAUUUGCUAUCUUGAGAGAAGCCUCUAGUGAAACCUAUGUCCCCCGGGUCUAUUUUCCAUCAUAUAAGUUUCCGAUCUACUAUUUUGCAAUCUUUUGCUUUCCUAUCUAUAAACCAAAAAACCCAAAAAUAUUUACUUUAUCGUUUGUUUAGUUUUAUCUAUCUCUAUUAGAUCUCACUUUUGCAAGUGAUCGUGAAGGGAUUGGCAACCCCUUUAUCGCGUUGGGUGCAAGUUGUUUGAUUGUUUGCGCGGGUAUUGGUGAUCUGUGCGUUGUCUCCUACUGGAUUGAUAGCUUGGUUCUCUAACUGAGGGAAAUACUUAUCUCUACUUUGUUGCAUCACCCUUUCCUCUUCAAGGGAAAAACCAACGCAAGCUCAAGAAGUAGCAUAUGUUUUUUAUUAUCCCAUUAGUGGCCCUACAUCCUUGUGUGGGAUACCAUGCUAUACUAUCUGGGUUAUCCGAGAUGAUGGAUCGUUGUACAGAGACCUGAACACCCCUUUAGGCCCUACAAUUAUUUGACUCUGUAGAGUCGCACUAAGGGUGAACUUACUAAGGGUGAUUCCUCGUAGUUCACUCCCAAUGAUGACUUUGCAGCGCAACACAUCUAGUGUGACCUUAUGAAAGGUGAUUCCUCAUAUACCACUCUCGACGAUGUCUCUGUCAUGCAGUAUAUCAAGUGUGAAUCUAUCGAGGGUGAUUCCUCGGGUUUUCACCUUGAUGUUAUGGAACUGAGUCCCGACAACCCCAAAUGUUAAAGACGGGUCGGCCCCAAGGGUACCCGUGAAUGAUUCACUGUUGGUGGAACAACAGGGUAGGUAGAAACCACCUAGGCGAGAGGUGGGCUUGGUCCCAGGUUGGUGUUCGUGGAUAUUUCAUAAUAACAUGCUUAACGAGGUUGGAUAUUUGAUCUGAGACUGCCAUUGGCAUAUACGCACUAACCGCCGCGCGGGAUAAUGGUAUAUGGGGACCUCGGCAUCGUACAUUCCUUCUAAAAGCUUUCCAGAUGUUAUAGUUCAGAGAUGCGGGCUGGUUAUUGGGGUGGGCUGGUUAGGCCUGCUUGUGUACACAAAGGCGCCCCUGGGCCUCGGCUAGUCACGCAACAUGCAGGAGUGCUUAGGGUGAUGGGCCCAUGACCUCUUUGCACUUAGGAUUUAGAUUGACGUGUUGACCUCUCUGGGGAGCCUAGGUUGGUCUACAACGUGUUGAUUAUCCAAGCCUGGGCAUUACCUAGAAAAGUGUGUCUGGUUAGAGGUAAUGAAGUGUAUCGGGUAACGUGGUGCACCCCUAUAGGGAACUAAUCUAUUCGAAUAGCCGUGUCCAUGGUAAAGGAUGACUUGGAGUUGUAUCCCACUUUUACAACUAAAACCGGAUACUUUUUAAAACAUAGCCAGAUAAGAGACAGAUACCCCCGGAGAUCGCUUUCCCCAGGGAGACGAGGAGAGGAUCUCUGGGCAGGUUUAUUGCUACAUAUGUACAAGAUGAUAUCAUAUAAUGCUCCUCUCUUCUAUUGCUGCAAGAUGAUGGUUGCAAGAAGAUGUAGUCUUCGAUAUGAUGAGCUUAUCCCCCUUAUGUUGAUAUUUUUGCAGUUUAGUCCAUAGAUACUACCCCAUUCCUUUGAUACCGAUGCAUAUCUAGUGUAGAUCUGAUGUAAGUCUUGCGAGUACUUCGGAUGAGUACCCACGGUUGCUUUGCUACCCUUUUCAUUUAACCCGGUUGCUGCAACAGUUGGUAGAAAUGUGGAUGCAGGUUACCCCAGCGGAGCGUACUAUGUGGAGACCGACGACCAAGAGUAGUCCGGAGGUCCCAAGCAGAAGGCCUCGCCUUUCGAUCAUAGUGUCGUUGUUUUGCCCAGCCUUCGUAAGGCAAAACUUCUCUAACUAUUUAUGUACUCAUACAAUAUUUUCUUUGAUGAUUUAUGUAUUAUGGGUCCUCGUGACCCGGGCUUGUAAUAUGUUGUUUUAUGUUUAUCUUCUGUGUCGCAGAGAUUGUGUUGUGAUAUUGACGUGAGUCACCGUUCGUGAUCGUGCAUGAUGUGUGUAUGAUUAGUGCACGGUUAUAAACGGGGGCGUCAUGGGCUUUGACACUAAUCCACUCCUUGGAGGCUUCAAUGAGGUUCCCCACCCCCUCAACAUGCCGCUGCUUAGUGGUAAAAACUUGGUCCCCUAUUUGGGUGGCGACGAUGUUGUGGAGUCGUGUUACUCCUUAGAGGCAUCGUCCGAGAUAACAGUUGCGGAGGGUGAUGUUUUUGGUGGUGGCGAAUGGCGGCUCGGAUUCAGUUCUGACAAGUCUCAUGGCUGCAAGAGUGGAGAGUCCCUGUCGGUGCCGCUGGUGGGUUGCCACCCUCGAUUCUGGGCAAGAGGGGAUCAUCGUCCCCUCUUUGGUUCUAUCUUGUCGCUGAGCCAAUGGCGGCGUUGGUGCUUCAUCGGAAUUUGGCCCAAACUUGGAGGUCACGUGAAGACAUUUGGUUUCAGGUCCUUCAACGCCUUAGAGCAUCUCCAGCCGGCCCCCCAAGAAGCCCCCCAAGAGCAUUUUUUUUCAGCGCCGGCAAACAAAAAUCGUCCCAGCCACGCCCCCACGACCUCACUUUUCACCGGUUUUCGCAAAAAACAAAGCCGGCGAGCCCAUCCCACACCCAGGCUAUCGGGGGGCAGCUGGGGGGACCGGCGCUUUGUUUAAGCGACGCGAUUGGCCCACGUCAGCCACCCAUCCCCCUCUCUCUCCUCUCUUUUCUCUUUCCUUCUGCCCCCACGCACACACACCGAGCCGCAUGCACUCUGAGCUGCACGAGGAGGCGCCGUGGCCGGAGCUCGCCCGCACCCUCCUGUCCGGGGCGGAGCUGCGCAUGGUCGGGGAGGAGCUCGCCAGCGCUUUUCUGCGUUGGCCGAGGCGGAGCUCGCCCGCGCCCUCCUGUGCGUGGCCGGGGCAGAGCUCGCGCGCGCCAACACGUCCUGCUCGCCAAGGUUGGAAAGGGCGUCCUGCUACCUUCGUUGGCGUCCGCCGCCUCCCCGCACCAUGGCCUCGUCUCCGGCCGUCACGCCUGCCCCCGCGCCACUCCUCUGCACCGCACCCGAUGCGGCCCGCACAUGUCGUGGCCCGCAACUCGCUCUCCGGCCAUGGCCUGCAGUUGCCUCGCGUCGGCGUAUCCCGCCCGCUCUAGCCGCUCGCCCCAUGUGCGUCCGCGUGCUUCCCUCGUCGCUCUGCUCAUCGCAUUGACCGCGUCGUGGCCGGCCACCGAGCCGCGCGCGCGCUCACCACUGGUCGGCGUCCCCAAGCAGGAGCAGAAGCACCGUCCCCGCGAGCGCCUUCGACGCUGCCGAGGAAGCCCAGCGCCCACCUCCGCCUGCUCGCGCUCCCGCUGGCCGGCGUGGCGGACGGGCCGGCGCCGGAGAUGCCAUGGCGGAAGGAGGAGGAGUAGGCAGCGGCGGAGGCGUAGCAGACGGAGUGGCCGAGCGCGUCGUCCCUUCAGCGUUCGUCGUGCUCACCGACCUCGGCCCCAGCUACAUGGGGGGCGCCACGAGUGGAACAAAUUUCACCCCAUGCCAAAUUUUUCGCCGGCAGCCCCCCAAGCGGCGAAAAAAAUGCCUCCUGGGGAGGCUCAACGGCUGGAAAUGCUCUUAGCUUUCCUUGUGUAUGUCAUAGUCUAUGGCGAGGCCUCAGUGUGCAUGUUUCUUUAAACUAUUACCACAUCCAUCUGCGGACAGGGGGGACUAGUCCUCUAACAUGGAUGUGAGAGCCGACCAUCCAAUGGUAUCCGCAUACAUUUCAAAUCGGCUAAACAAACAAGAUGAAAUUCAUGGAAAAUAGAUGAUUUCCAUACAAAUCAAAUGAAAUUCAUUACAUUCUAGACUUCUUAAAACUAAAUCGUACUCUAACCUGGUCUAAAUUACCACCGACACCCAUUCCCCAUGACCAUCCGGUUAUGAGCCUCGGGAAGUGAAGCUCCAGCUCCGCCUCUGCAACCUACAAGUGGCUAAUCAGCCGACAAAGAUGAGGCCACAAGGCUUAGCUUCAGCAAGAGAGCAAGAGUGGUGGCCUUGACACAAGCGUCGGCUCCUUCCCAUGCUCUACUCUGCCUCGCUGCCAGCGGCGCUGACGAACGCGUCGACGUCGUUGUGUCAUGUCGUGGCCGCAAAGCCACCGGCCUCUUCACUACCGUCAUCGGGCCCGUAAACUUCAUCCGCCGCCUCAUCGAUCUUCUUGUAGGCGGCCUCUAAAUCCGCAUGAUACUGGCGCUAGAGCCAGCAGUCGCGAUGGAUGUCACAAGCGAAGCGGUAGGAGUCCAGCAGAGCCUCUUGCUCGCCAACGUCCACAUCCGACGUGAUGGCCGCGCCGACGACGAGUAGCUCCUCCGCGCACCGGUGCUCGUCAAGGCGGAGAUUAUAGGCCUGUACAGGCAUGCGCCUGCUGAAACACGGCCUCCCGCUCCUCCAACACCAUGUUGGUGUAGUGAGCAUGGGCCUUACCCAUGGUGAUGCCGGCAUAAGAUUAUAGGCCUGUACGGGCAUGCGCCUGCUGGAACACGGCCUCCCGCUCCUCCAACACCAUGUUGGUGUAGUGAGCAUGGGCCUUACCCAUGGUGAUGUCGGCAUAAGAUUAUAGGCCUAUACGGGCAUGCGCCUGCUGGAACACGGCCUCCCGCUCCUCCAACACCAUGUUGGUGUAGUGAGCAUGGGCCUUACACAUGGUGAUGCCGGCAUAAGCCGGUGAAGGCACCGGCUCAGUCGUCGGCCGCCUCUGCCAUUGGAGCCUCCACAGCACCUGCCUCCUGUGAGCCGGCAACAAUGGCGGCGGUCUUCCCUUCUGUUCAAAAGAGGUUGUCCCCCAGAUCUUUGGAGCACAUCAAGGCCAUGGCAUGUGUGGUGACAAAUCUUUGGAGCUCAUGAAGGGUUUAAAUAGUGGGCAAAGGGUUGGCAAGGCAAAGAGGUCAGCAACCGUGAGCGGCAGCAGUCAGAAUCAGGCUCAGGUUGCGCCUUUUCUCUAAAACAAAAUACAAGUUCAAAUAUUCUAUGUACAAAACUGUUUAUUGUGCUGUUUUGAUAUUUUAGCCGUCUAGGGCAUCAAACCAAUCGGCACGAGACAGAGCAACUGACCAACAAUGAUAUCGAUCGGGAAUAGAAUAAAGGUACCACUGCACUUUAUUUUGAUCUUAUUUAAUUAACAUUUCCCACUUAGAUUCAAAAGACAUGCUUACCCUACUGAAAUCUUAAAAAAUAACCACAAGAGCACAAGUCAAAAGUAAAAGCAGAGAACCGGGCAACAUAUCACAUAUGAACGAAGGCAAGAGGCACAUCUGUAGCAAACUAGCUUGGGUAUUCAAUAACAACCAUGACAAAAUAUGAAAUAGUUCGCUGAAAACAGUUGUACUAAUUCUGGCUUCAAGAACACUGGAACAUAGAGCAGAUCCAACUUGGAACAAAAAACUCAACAUGUCAUCCACUAAGAUAUUCUAA
rnacentral:lncRNA from 1 species